CCACGCUAUAGAUCCUCUUCUACCUCUAGAUAUCCAAAUCCUCAAAAAAGGGCAAGAUUCUAUCUCACAUCCUUGUUACAACUUUAUACUAAUAUACCUUUCAAUCACUCCCUAUGCAGAUAGUGCAUAACCCAAUAGACUUAAAUCCAUGAUCAAAAUGAAUAACAAAGCAUUAAUGAAAAUUACUAGUACUAAAUUAAAAGCAACUCAAAGGGGUAGCAUAACCCCCUAAAAUUUUUUAAAUUUUUUAUUUAUUAUAUAUUUUUUCUUUUAAUGCCUUUCCAAAAUAUAAUAUAAAUAAAUAAAAUUUUUAACUAUAUAAUUGGAAGAAGGGGAUUCAAACUCUACUUAUGGAUCAUGCACUAAUCAAUGAACCAAAUGCUUGAAAGCUAAUAUAAAUAAAGAAUAACAAAAUGACCUCAUAAGCCCCACUCAACUUUAUCUUAAGUUUUUCCACACUAAAACACACUUCAUUCUUCAAAAGAGAUCUAUAAGUUUAACAGUUGUAACAAAGAAGGAUAAGACCACUCACCACCAUUGUGAAAUUAAAAAGAAGUACUUUUGUCAUUUUCUUUCUGUUUAUAUUAUAAUUAUUAUUAUUAUUAUUUAUUUCAUUUUUAUUAUAUUUUCUCAUAUGUUAUAAGUUUUCACAAAUUUUCUUCUUCAAACUUCUACGAACCAUCAAUUAUGUUCUUCCUCUUUCUUUUUUGCUAUAUAAGUUCUAUAUUCUACUUGUAAUUAUAGUUUUCUUUUUUCUGUCAUGUACAUUUUAUUUUUUAUAAUUUUAAUCUUUAAAAAUUAAAAAAUUAUUAUGAAACUCUCCAAUAUAAAUUAUAGUGUUGUAUUGUUGGUUUUUACUUAAAACUUCAUUAAUGUAUCAUUUAUAAAUCUUGAUUAAUAGAUUAAUUCGUCUUGUUUUAACUAUUUCGUUUCUACAACAAUUAUGCAGAGAGUCUUUUUAACAAUGAAAAUUAUGAAAACAAAACUCUAAAACAAAAUAAAUUAUAAAAAGAAUCCAAAACAGAAUAAAAUAAUAAAUUUUUUAUCAGAUAAUUUAAUUAUUUAUAUUAAAAAAGACAUUACUAAUCCUUAUAAUAUAAGAAUCAAUAAUUGAUCAAUUUGAAUUUGAAAAACAUCCUCAGCAUAAUUUGUUUAAAAAUUAUUAUAAAUAUUUCAUUUUCUUACUUUUAUUUAUUAUUUUAAUAUUAUAUAAAAUUAUUAUUUAUUAUAAAAAAUUUUAAUUAUUUUAAAUUUAAAAAUAUUUAAACCUUAUCUCUCUUUGUCAAUGACCCUCAACCUUAACAAAAUUGACAAGCUCCGCUGCUGCAACUCACUACAUUAAAGUAAAAAGAUAUUCUUAAAGCGAACUCAUAAGAAAGCUAACUUACAUUGAGCUUAGCAGUUCCAAGAAAAGAGAUGGACAUGUCCACCGAAACUUCCAUGGGAAGACCUUCGAUAUGGACAACAGCCCAACCAAC
rnacentral:lncRNA from 1 species